rnacentral:lncRNA from 1 species
GGGUUCGGCUGGGCCGCGGCGGCUCCCGGCGGCUGCGGGGGGGCGGGGGCCGGGCCCCGGCGGUAACCGGUGGCGGGAGGUGCUGGUGGCCGUGCGCCCUCGUAACGAAACACGCAAGUUCCAGAAGCUUCCAACUCCGCGGGGGUUGUGGUGUCGCUUCUUGGGGCCCUAGCUUAGAAACACAGAUGGUGGAUGAUGAAACUGAGACUACAGGUGAAGAAUUGCCUCCUCAUCUGCGGGAAGAGCCUCCUGAAGUGUCUCCAGAUGUCUGUGUAGAACUUGGCUUCCCUCCUGAAGUGUAGAAACAAGGUGGUAAGGACACUCUAAAAUGCAGAGGCCUCAGCUUUGAGCAUUAGGAACAGUCUGUGGCAGAGGGAUCAGCUAAGGCUCCUGCCACUCUAAAGUUAUCAAAAUGGCAAUGAAUACUCAUAGUAGGUAGAAGGCCUGAUUGCAUCAGCUCCUUUUCUCGCCAGUGUUAACACCACAAUGGUAAGCUGCCUUUAAGCAGAGGCUAAGGGAUCAUUCAUAUAUAACAGCCUAUAAAACUUAUGUAUGGUAUUUUUCCCCCCUUCAUAACAGCACAUUAUUUUCCAACCAUCCAUCAGCAUUUCUCUGGAGCUGAUUCUUGUUCAACUAAAUAGCAUCUUCCUUCUCUGGGCAGAGACCCAACUUGUUUUCCUCCUCCUUUUCUUCAUUUCUAUUCCUCACUGUACUCCAUAUCCAAUGGUAGAUAAAUAAUAACUUCAGU